rnacentral:lncRNA from 1 species
GCGAAGACAAGUCCACAAAGAACUCAUCUCCUAAUGCCACACUAUAUGCUUAUCUUCAAAAGUGAUCCCUAAUGUAAUUUUUAUGCCAUAUCAUAUUUUCCUUAGAACUAAACCAAUGAUUGGAUUCUCCAUCCCGGGAUAUGCAAGCAAUCUUUUUCAGAUUCAAUCACACGCCCCCCUCAUAAACCAACUUUACUUGGAUCAUGUAUAAAUAGCAUAUGUUUGUCUUAAAUACAUGUUCUUUCUUUAUUUUUUUAUGAUGUAGGAAGUACCCUACUCGUUCAAAACAGGGCACAAACUUUGUAAACUUCGUAGUAAUGCAAGUAUAAAAACGUUCAAAGUUACACUAUCAGAGGAGCCUCCUUUAGCCCAAUCCAUCUGGAACAGUUAGCAGCUUGGGAGACUUGAAGUAAUAAGCGCGGUAAUGAUUAGCGGGCUACGGACACAUGCAUAUGGCGCCUUGACCCAGAAGUCCAAUGCACCAUCUGGCUUCUGUUAAGUUUAUGCAACCAGCAAGGUUAUGGAUUAUAACAUUCAAACCCAGGCUUUAUGACAUUCGAGGGAAUAGUUGAAAGGACGACCCGGAACUCAUUCAAAGGUCACUAUAAAAUUUGACCCCGAGUAUGACUACUUCUAUCUCAGACCUACUUACAAAGUCAAGUGAGCUGCAACACCAAGUGUUAGCAAGUCCGAAUGGGGCAUCCAGACUAGGCAAUGCCCAAGAGGAAUUUAUUCCAACAUAGCUCCGAUACACAUAAAUGCUUUGGUCAAGCCAACCAAAGUAGUCCAAUAAAAAACCCUCAGGUCCGAAGCAUAGGGUCCGACAAAAGGAUUCAAAAGUGUUUUCAACCCACAUGCUGAUGUCCAAGUUUCCAAAAAAACUUUCGCUUAAGAUUCACAGGGGACGAACAUGCAAUCUAGACCAGGGGAAACCAUAUUGGCACCAAAUUGCGAGAAUUGAAGUCCUUACCCUAAGAGUCGGGCAAGGCUCGAAGAAACAAAUCCUCAUUUGUACAACAUUAUUAGGUACACUUUGAAACUCUUACAUUAGAUGGAUGCAUUACAAUAAGUGCGGGAGCAAGGGUAUUCUCGUGGGUUUAAUAUAUAAUUCUUGGUAUGGGAACAAUGUGGUGUUUUGGGUAUCGCGGUGAGAAUACUCUAUGAAUAGUAAGUUUGGGAGGCAACAUUCCACCCGAAUCAACGUUGCCCAAAGGGAGCUAAUGAGCUCUAUCCCGGGCCCAUAAACUUAUUCGUAUGCCUAUCUGCCACUUAUUUCUCACACAAAGUUUAUUUACUUUAGAGAAAUUCAUCGGGUCAAGAUUUCUCCCAAACAGAUUAAGGAGCAAAAGAAAGAGACUUGUAUUACAACAAAAAAAUUGGGAAAUGGACAUGCCCUAUUUCUGACCAUAAGUAAGUUCAAAUCAGUCCCUUUUUGGAGCAUCUUUCUCUUUAAGGGUAGCAAAAGACUAGCCAGGGACAUCAAGUGCCAAGUCAUUCUUAAUAUCGCACUUCCCUUGCUCUGCGUCUGGCUCUACCUCUAAGUCUGACAUCUUAUCCAACAAGUGUUGGGGAGAAGGAAAGUCCAUGUGCUUAAUCUCCUCAUAAAUUUUGAAGACGCUCCAACCCCUGUGGUGAUCUCACUUGACGUAUCUAUUAAAGAAUCCGACAUCAAACUCAUCUUCAAGCAAUUUCUUAUGGUCCUUUCAGAGUGCACACACCUCAGAAGAGUAUCUGUUGGUGAGCUAUUGGAGGUCCUCGAUGCACUUGUCGUGUUUAAGGCCGACCUCUUGAUGAAGAUCCUCAACCUUUUUUAAAAGAGUUUCUUGCUCCUUAGCUUAAGCGUUGAGCUUCGAAGUUAGCACACGCUCCGACUUUCCUUUUAAGACAAUAAGAGUUGGGGUCAUUUCCACCUUGGCCUGCCUCUUGAGCCUCAAUUCCUCUCUAAUUGCCUCAAAGAUUUCUCCAUAAUCCUUGGCCUCACCUUUUCAAUAGUAGCCAGGUCAAUAUAUCGAACUAUCUCUACCUCAUGGGUAAAGUCUGAGGCUUACUGUUUGGCGUGUGUAGUCUUGAGUUCUUCAAAUUGGGUUAACAACUGCCAUUCAACCUCAAUCCUCACCACCAUAACAAGGCCUACAAUUUGCUCAAACUCUUGGAUUUGCCUUGUUUGUUGAAAUAAGGCGACCUCUAUCCACAC